rnacentral:rRNA from 1 species
UACGUAGGGUGCGAGCGUUAAUCGGAAUUACUGGGCGUAAAGCGUGCGCAGGCGGUUCUGUAAGUCAGACGUGAAAUCCCUCGGCUCAACCGGGGAACUGCGUCUGAUACUGGAUGGCUUGAAUCCGGGAGAGGGGAUGCGGAAUUCCAAGGUGUAGCGGUGAAAUGCGUAGAUAUCUGGAGGAACACCGGGUGGCGAAGGCGGCAUCCUGGACCGGUAUUGACGCUGAGGAGCGAAAAGCCAGGGGGAGCAAACGGG